rnacentral:rRNA from 1 species
GAUGAACGCUGGCGGCGUGCCUAAUACAUGCAAGUCGAGCGAACAGACGAGGCGCUUGCUCCUCUGACGUUAGCGGCGGACGGGUGAGUAACACGUGGAUAACCUACCUAUAAGACUGGGAUAACUUCGGGAAACCGGAGCUAAUACCGGAUAAUAUAUUGAACCGCAUGGUUCAAUAGUGAAAGACGGUUUUGCUGUCACUUAUAGAUGGAUCCGCGCCGCAUUAGCUAGUUGGCAAGGUAACGGCUUACCAAGGCAACGAUGCGUAGCCGACCUGAGAGAGUGAGCGCCCACACUGGAACUGAGACACGCUCCAGACUCCUACGGGAGGCAGCAGUGGGGAAUCUUCCGCAAUGGGCGAAAGCCUGACGGAGCAACGCCGCGUGAGUGAUGAAGGUCUUCGGAUCGUAAAACUCUGUUAUGAGGGAAGAACAAAUGUGUAAGUAACUAGGCACGUCUUGACGGUACCUAAUCAGAAAGCCACGGCUAACUACGUG